AACGUAGGGGGCAAGCGUUGUCCGGAAUUAUUGGGCGUAAAGGGCUCGUAGGCGGUCUGUUGCGUCGGGAGUGAAAACUUACAGCUUAACUGUGAGCGUGCUUCCGAUACGGGCAGACUUGAGGUAUUCAGGGGAGAACGGAAUUCCUGGUGUAGCGGUGAAAUGCGCAGAUAUCAGGAGGAACACCGGUGGCGAAGGCGGUUCUCUGGGAAUAUCCUGACGCUGAGGAGCGAAAGUGUGGGGAGCGAACAGG
rnacentral:rRNA from 1 species